UAACAGUUAAUUAGAUUAUUAUUAAUUACAGAAUUAAAGUGAACAGUUGAUAAUUAUGUUGUCUCACUCGAAAAUGAGUCAAUGGAUUUUAUUAAUUGUCGUUUGUACUUCAUUAUUAUCCGUAAUUGUUGUUUAUGGAAUGAAAAAAAAUUCAACUUCAAAUGAUGAACAGAAUGAUAAUAAACCCGCUCCGGGAUGUGGCCCUGAGUGGGGGUGUUAUGAAGGCCAUUGUUGGAGCGAUUGUGUCGGGUUUGACCUUAAGGUGAUCAGAGAAUGGUGUUAUACUACUAAGGCCAAGCACGGCGAUCGUAAGUUUGUCCAUGUAAAUCUAAAGCCGAUUGUGACCCGUGUUGGAAAUGCGCUGAUACUUGUUCCGUGUUCCCAAAAGGCCCGAAGCAUAAAAGAGAGACUUGAACUUUUUUUCGAGUUUCGAAUUCAUCAUUGGAUAAUUUUUCGAUUCUGGAAUAAGAUCCAAAUGAACUGAAUUAAUUAUCAGAUCAAUUGAUUGUCAGUGAUUAACAAAAUUCAACAGAUUUUUUUCCCUGUACAAUUUUAAUUAAUUGAAUUAACUAAUUAUUAUAUGAGAAAAUGAUUCGCUUUAAUCAAAACUUUCCCUUUUCCUUUUGACCUGAGAUUUAAUUGUAAUGAUUAACAACAGAAAUUUAUGAAACAAUUAGAUUUAAUUGUGUGUGGUAACCUUGAUUAAGAAAAUAGGUGAUAAUUAAUUAAUUAUCCAGUAAUUAAUUGCUCUGUGAUUUGGUAAAAUGAUAUCAAUCAACAUCCGUAAUCAUUUUUAAUUUGCCAGACUAAUUUUAAUUGCUUUGAAAAUUAAGGUUAAUUGUUGAAUGAUUGAUUUCAAUUGAAGGUCAUCAUAAGUGAUAGUUUUAAUUUUAAACUGUCACAAUUAAAUAAAAUGACAAUAAUUAAGAUUAAAGUUUUGUUUUAUUAAUUUAACAGAAUCAUCAAAAUGAUCAGUUAACAAUUAACAAUUUUUUCAUUGAUUUAGUUUAAUAAAAAGCAAAAGGGUUCGGCAAUUAAUUAAUUGACCUUUCACAUCCUUGAUUGUUGUCAAAUUGAUUGCUAUCAAAUAGUAGCAAUUAAAUGUUUCUUGAUAUAAUUAUUGUUAUUAUCUAUUAUGCUUGAGGUUAUACAAAACAAAAAAUUAGUGUAACAAUUAACUAAUUGUGAAAAUGGUUCUCAAUACUUUUACUUUUGAUAUGUUUUCAGUUUUUUUUGAACAAUUUAAAGUUUAACAAUUAACUAAAUACACAACAAGUUAAUUCACUUUUUCUGACGUUUAAAAUACACUAAUUGUUAAAAAUAGUGAUUAAAUUUUCACAAUUUAAAAUGAGCAAUUAGUUAAAAAAAACGAAACUGUUAAAAGGAUUGGUUUUAGUUACACCUAAUAAUCAACAACCAUGCAAACAAUUUACUAAUUGUAAGUAUUAAGAAUAUGAUUAAAAUAUCAAAUCAUCACAAUUUUCAUGAUUAACUUUCAGAUUGGAUUGAUUUCUGAAUACAUAUUAAUUGUUUACUCAGUGUUGUUGGUUGAUUUGUCAAUUUGUUGUUCACUUAAUUAACUUACAAUCAACUAAUAGAUUGAAAUUUCAAAUUGUUAAAAAUAAAAGUUGAUUGUUAUAAAUUGUUUUUCAUUAGAAAGAGAGUUGAUAUAAAUAAUUAAAUUUCCCUCUUUAUCCUUAAUUGUUUGUGAUGAAAAAAAAAAGAUUCACAUAAAUUAGAUGAUCUAUUAUUAUGAUUGUUGUUGUUGUUGUUGAUUUGAUUUAGUUGAUUGUUGUUGGUUAAUUCAAUGUUAACACGAUAAUUUGAUUCUGAUAAGUCUGGGUCAUUUUGUUAUUGAUUGUUUGAUAUGUAUUAAUAUCAACGUGAUGAUUAAGAUGAAAAUUAAAUAGUUGACUGAUCUAGAAAACAGUUAUUAUACUUAAUACUUUCAAUAAAUUAAUCACAAUCAAUUUGAUGGAAAUCUAAUCAAACUGUAAUCAUGAUGAUCUGUCAAUGAUUUAUUAUUGGCAGUUGAUCAUUUGAAAGACACAAAGGUAACUAUCAACAGUUAAUUACGAGAUUAAAGAAUUAAAUGAAAUGAACAAUUUUUCUAAAUUCUCAACUAUAAUCAAUCAGAUUGAAGAAUAUCAAAAAAAAGAGAGUAAAUAGAAAACCAAUUAAAUGUUAAUUAAAUAGAGAAAAUUUAAUUAAUAGAAAUCAAAUUAUUCACUUGACCUCAUUUCUUUUCGUUGUCACCAGUUGGUGUUAGUUGUUAAUUGAUUUUCUCUCAAUGGUUUUGAAUUUGUUGUUUAUUAAUCUUCAUCAUCUUGUUGAUUAUUGUUAAUUGUUUGAAAAUUACCUCACGAAAUGUUACUUAAAUUGAUCUUCAGGUGAAUUUAAUGAGACGAAGUAUAAAUUUAACAAUAAACUUGGACUUGACAUUAGACUUGUGUGUGUGUGUUACACUAAAUGGAUCAUCAUCAUCAUGAAAUGUAAUCAACAUCAAUAGUUAAAAUUUUAAGUAAACAAGAUUUUGAUUGUAACGUUUCAAGUUAAACACUCAAAGGGUUAUGAACAUUGUCUUCUUCUGGUUCCCAUCACUUGGCUAACGUAUUUAAAUUGAUGAUUUACAAUUAAUUUGAUCAUUUACAACAACAAUUACUACUUGAUAAUUUAAUAUUUAUACAACAAAAAUGAAUUAUCUGCUAAUUCAAAGUUAAUUUAGAUUGUGUGUAAUUAUAUUGAAUUAUUUGUUUGCUGUUUACCAUUCAAAUCAUUCAUAAAGGAUUGUAAUACUUUGGUUAUCGAUGAUUAAUGGAGUGAUGAUUGUGAUGAAAAUUGAACAAUAAACUACAACAAUCAAGUAAACAAUCAAGGAUGGAAUCAGUGAGAGGAAAUUCAGACCAAACAAGAUGAAGGCGAAAGAAAAAAAAAACUAAAUCAACAUAACGAUUGGAUAACAAUUUAUAAAUAGUCCAAUCACCAACUCUUAUAUUUAAUACAAACACUUAGGUUUACCUGGAUUUUUGUUCAUCAAUUCAGACAAUCAACGUUUUCCAAACAAAUCAACUAUUCCUUUAAUCAUCUCAUUAUUAUUAGAUUAACAUUUAUAACCAUUUCUCGCAAUCAUUUACAAUUUAUGGUCAAUUUUGUUUUUCUUGCAAUUAGUUAAUAAUGAGAAGUUAAAUUAGCUUGUUUGAUCUCAAUUGGAAAUUGGAUCAAACAAUUGUAAAUGUAUCGAUAUCAAUACUAAAUACUGAAAGUUAAUCUACAAUUUUUGGGCAUUUGAUUAAUUCUGAUGAUGACAUUAAAUUUAACGAUAAUGAUAAUGGUGAUGAUGAUGAUUGUGGCGUUGAUGAUACUUCCAAUUGCGAUUUGGAAAAUUAAGAUAAUCAAAUCUCUACAAUUACUUAAUAAGAGAUCGUAGAUGAACUUAAUUCAGUUCAAAAUCUGCAGUUAACUGAGUUGUUGUUUCCUUCAUCUCUGCAAGUGACCAUCAUUACGAUUUUAAAUUGCUUUAAUUUAGAUCAGCCUUUUGCAAGUGAAUUAAAAUCAACAGGUAAGUAAAUCCAUUUUGAAAGAUUGACUGAGCACAAUAAUGAUGAUUAACUUGAUGAGAUAAUAGAUGAUAAUUGAAUGAUAUUUGAACAUAACAGUUAAUAGACCAUUAGUUAAAUUGUAGAUUUCCGGGCAAUGAGAAUUAAAUUGGACAACUGAGUAUCUGAAAUAAGACAAAAAUAAUACGAUAGGAAUCUUUUUGCCUCAAGCCUGAAAUUGUCUCUCUCAUAAAGUUCUGGUCAGUUAGAUCAGAAUGAGAUGAAUGGAUGAUGAUAAUCAAUGGAAAACUCAAAGAUAUGAAAAAACAAAACAAAAGGUAAACAAAAAUGGACUAAUUGUUUCAUAUCAUCUUCCUUAUUGACACACGAUUUAAUUGACAGCCGAUGGUCCAACCAAUCAAAUGAAUAUCGAUGGUUCGAGAAUUGUUUUUCGAUGAUAAAAUGAAAAUUUUCGUUGAAACGAUUGGAAAUCGGGAAAUGGAAAGACAAUUGAUUUAACUCUCAUUCCAUAUUAACCAAAUCAAUAAUUUCUGGUAAACAAUUAGUAGGGAAUUUUAUAAUUUAUGCUAAUUUGUUUUCAUUUAGUAACAACAUGCUACUUACAUUUAGAUGUAUUUAUAAUUAUAAUACAUAAUUUAUUGUAAUUUAUUAAUUCUUGUUACUUUUUUAAAAUAGAAUAAGAAAUUAAUAGUAACAAUUAAUUUGUUUGAAUUGCGAAAAUUGAUCAACAGUUUGUUGGUGCAUCUAAUCAUCAUCAUCAUCAUCAUUAUUUGAAUAUUGUUAUUGAUUAACUAUUAAAGUUACACCUUCUUUU